CCUACGGGAGGCAGCAGUGGGGAAUCUUGCGCAAUGGCCGAAAGGCUGACGCAGCGACGCCGCGUGUGGGAUGACGGCCUUCGGGUUGUGAACCACUGUCGGAAGGGACGAAUGGCCCGCAAGGGCAGUGACGGUACCUUCAAAGGAAGCACCGGCUAACUCCGUGCCAGCAGCCGCGGUAAU
rnacentral:rRNA from 1 species